ACCCCGAUACCCAUGACUCUGUGCACUCCCACAGCUGUGGUUGUAGUUUUUUUCAUUCACAGCAGGGCUCGCUUCAACUGACUCAGGGUCUGAGCCAGCAGCG